rnacentral:lncRNA from 1 species
UCAUACCUUACAAUUAGGAGUGUUGGCACACCCCUAACUAGCUUGUUAGCCAUAUUGCUAGGAGUUAGGCUCCAUUAAAGGAUCAGGUCCAGACAUGAGCAACAAUUUGGAUACAGUCAUGCUUGAACCUUAACUCAAACACAUAGAAGGGGAUAAAGUUAUGGGGAAAUUCAUAACAACAACAAAUGCAAUGAGAAGAGCAUAUUCAAUACUGAACAUAAACAGCAAAGUACACAAGAUUGUAGAAACUAAGAAGUAAACACAGAGGGAUAAGGCUGAAAACAAAGUUAG